AUGGAAACAAUAAGGCUCAAGAGAAAGGAACACACGUGGAUAAAGCCUUUAAUAAACCUUGUAUCUCCCCAGAUUGGGGCCGGUGGCGCUGAUAGCAUCCUCGCUAUCGUUCCUGUGAGAGUAAAGGCAAGGAAGGGAAACAAAGUGCUGACUUGUUAUGCAUUCCUGGACCCAGGAAGUAAUGCUUCCUUCUGCACUAACAAGCUGGCAAAUGACCUUCACCUGCAAGGAAAAAAUGUGAACAUCCUACUCACCACCAUGGGAGAACAAAAGACAGUCUUCUGCAAGGCUGUACCAGACCUUGAACUGAGCAGCCUGGAAGGCGAUGACUUUAUUGAGCUCACAGAAGUUUUUGCACAAAAGGUUAUCCCUGUGAGUAAAGAGAACAUUUUGACUCAAGAAGAGGUGGAUAAGUGGCCACAUCUGCUAGGUGUACGAAUCCCUUCAAUCGAAGCAGAUGUCGGUCUUCUGAUUGGGACUGAUGUGGCGAAAGCCCUGGAACCAGAGGAAGUAAUCCGCAGCGUCAAAGAUGGACCGUACGCAGUACGUACAGCACUAGGAUGGACUGUAAACGGACCGCUGCGAGAGAACAUCAGAAGUCGGACAAAACAUGGAUGCCCACAGAUCAAGACAAAUCGCAUUUCAGUGGCUCGACUGGAUGAAUUAUGGGCUCAGCAAUUCAAGUGUGAUUUUCCUGAGAACGCUCAGUCAGAACAUUUGGAAAUGUCCAAGGAAGAUCAGCUGUUCGUGGAUCGAGUCUCUGAGUCAACCAAGCUGGUCAAUGGUCACUACUCAAUCAGGUUGCCGUUGAAAAACAAAGAUGUGAAAAUGCCCAAUAAUAGAGCUGUGGCAGAGCAGCGAGCGCUCAACAUGAAGAAGAAGCUUCAGAGGAACCAGACGUUCAAAGACGACUACGUCAGCUUCAUGAACGACAUGAUCAACAAAGGCUACGCUGUAAAACUACCAAAUGAAGACCUAAAACGGAGUGAUGGAAAGGUGUGGUUUAUUCCACAUCACGCUGUUUACCACCCUAAGAAGCAGAAAAUACGAGUGUUAUUCGACUGUGGCGCUUCUUACCAAGGAACCACUCUCAAUGAACAACUACUUCAAGGGCCUGACAUGACAAGCAGUCUCAUCGGCGUCUUAACAAGGUUCCGUCAAGACCAAGUCGCAAUAAUGGCGGACAUAGAAUCAAUGUUCCAUCAAGUUAAAGUACCACCAGAAGACGGUGACCUUCUCAGGUUCCUGUGGUGGCCGGACAGCGACGUCUCACAAGAGCUGCAAGAAUACAGGAUGGAGGUCCACUUGUUUGGCGCCACCUCCUCACCAAGCUGCGCGUCUUAUGCUUUGAGAAAAUGUGCUGAAGAUAACAAGAGCAGUUUUGAUGCAGCUGUAGUGGAAACGGUUUUGUGUAACUUCUAUGUUGAUGACUGUUUGAGAUCAGUUGCAUCCGAACAAGAAGCAGUCAAGUUAUAUCCUAGACCUGAAGGCCGUCUGUCAAACAGGAGGAUUCAGACUAACAAAAUGGAUGACCAACAACCAGACUGUGUUGUCAAGCUUUCUACAAGAGGACCGGGCAACGGAAGUCAAAACCCUCGACUUCGACCAGGAAUCACUUGCCAUGGAGAGAGCCUUAGGCAUACCGUGGUGUAUCUGGUCAGAUCAGUUUAA
ensembl:lncRNA